rnacentral:other from 1 species
GGCGGGCUGCCCGGUUCGUGUGGAGAAAUUUUUCCCUGGGGCCUAUUCGAUUCUAAAGGGAGCUGUCCCUGUGCUUGGCCCUGGCCUCGCAUAAAUGGCGCCCACCUACGUAAGUAGGGACCCGGGAUCGCACUCUCCCACGGCCACGGCGGCUCGUCG